UGUAUUUCUAGCUACGGUUUGCCCUAUG
rnacentral:piRNA from 1 species